UUUUUAAAAAAUAAAGGGAGGGGGGGGGGUUUCGCCCAGGAUAUUGAUUCCCUUGUAGGCCCCCCCGGAAAAAAGAAUGAUGCCCGCGUUUUGGAUUAUACUGGGAGCGGCCAAGAGGAAAUCGUUUAAGCAUCCCACCCUGGGGAGUACGCCGGCAACGGUGAAACUCAAAGGAAUUGACGGGGGCCCGCACAAGCGGAGGAACAUGUGGUUUAAUUCGAUGAUACGCGAGGAACCUUACCCGGGCUUGAACUGCAGGUGAACGAUACAGAGAUGUUGAGGCCCUUCGGGGCACCUGUGGAGGUGCUGCAUGGUUGUCGUCAGCUCGUGCCGUGAGGUGUCGGCUUAAGUGCCAUAACGAGCGCAACCCUUUUCUUUAGUUGCCAUCAGGUGAUGCUGGGCACUCUGGAGAUACUGCCACCGUAAGGUGUGAGGAAGGUGGGGAUGACGUCAAAUCAGCACGGCCCUUACGUCCGGGGCUACACACGUGUUACAAUGGGAGGUACAGAGAGUCGGUCAGUGGCAAUACUGAUCUAAUCCUAAAAGCCUUCCUCAGUUCGGAUUGGGGUCUGCAACCCGACCCCAUGAAGCUGGAUUCGC
rnacentral:rRNA from 1 species